UCCUUUUCUGUUUGAGUUACUCUGGCUAUAUUUACAUUAGAAAUAGUCUUCCAAAACUUCUAAGUGUUUCAGAUAUUCACAUCAGACAAAAAUUCAAAUCAGAAAUACUCAUCCAACACUUCUAAGUGUUUCAAAGUGGAGAAGAGAAAAUUGUCAUUUGCCUUGUCCUUGCAUAUGGAGUAUUUUCACUAUGAAUUUUGUAUGAUCUG
rnacentral:lncRNA from 1 species